rnacentral:lncRNA from 1 species
GGAAAUAAAACACGAACUAUGUAUAUCGAAAUAUUUUCAAAUGACCUAUGUGUAAAUAUAUUCAGAUGUUGGACUUGCCGAAUUUUAUGAACUAUAUAUGUGGUGAUGGUUACAAAAAAAAAACUUAACAAUGGAACUACUGGAUUUACAAUAGCAUAAAUGAAGAAGGAUUAUCGUAUUUUCCGAACUUUCGUUCUUAUUGCGAGGGAAGGAAUAAUGUUACACAAUUGGUAACAUUAAUUAAUUAUCAAGGAGUAUUAAUAGGGAAAUUUAUUAAAAAGGAAAUAAACAAUUCAAUGACAAUCAUGUAUGCUUUGGACACUAAUAACCAUCUGUGAAUACAUUAAAUAGCAGAAAGCCUUUGGACACUAAUAACAAUCUGUGAAUACAUUAAAUAGCAUGAAGC